rnacentral:rRNA from 1 species
UAAGCAUGAAGCCCCCCUCAAGAUGAGAUUUCCCAUAGCGUCAAGCUAGUAAGAACCCUGAAAGAUGAUCAGGUUGAUAGGUCAGAGGUGGAAGCACGGUAACGUGUGGAGCUGACUGAUACUAAUCGUUCGAGGACUUAACCAA